CGGGGCCGGAGGCUGAGAGGGGAGGCGGCCCCCGCGCCCCGUUGAUUGGCCGCUCCGUCCCGCUCAUCAAGCUCUUUUGUGUCAAUGGGUAGAAGCUAACUGAAGCGGCGGCUGCUGGGAGGGCUCAGCCGGUGGUUGGGGGAGGCCGCAGCUGCGGUGGGAACCGUGCUGCCUCGACUUCGCUACCCCUGGCUGGGAGGCUGUGCGGUGCAGCUCCAUCCAGCAGCUCCGGUUCGCUCGGUGGCGGAGGAGGCGUCAUCCUUUUCCCCUACAGGGCCGCGGGGACUGGAAGGCGGUAGCCGCAGCUGUCCACACCGGAGCAUCCGCUGCCCACCAGCCGGGCACAGGCCAUCAGAGCCAAAUCCGAACUUGAAUUCUGUCUGAGCAGCUGAUUGCAGAGCUGUCUUGACGCCCUGAGGACUGGGAUCUGCAAACCCCACUGGACGGAGGUCAAGACUGGGAUCUGCAACCCCCCAGUGGACAGAGGUCGACCUACCCCGAAGGCGAGCUUUCUCAUGGAGGGCACCUGUUGUAGAGGCUGGAAGUGAAAUAAAGGCGUGCACUUGUUUCCGAGCUUAUGUUUUAUAAUCCGAGAAAUAA